UACGUAGGGGGCAAGCGUUGUCCGGAAUCAUUGGGCGUAAAGAGCGUGUAGGCGGCCCGAUAAGUCCGCCGUGAAAGUCCAGGGCUCAACCCUGGAAUGCCGGUGGAAACUGUCGGGCUGGAGUCCGGAAGAGGCGAGUGGAAUUCCUGGUGUAGCGGUGAAAUGCGCAGAUAUCAGGAGGAACACCAAUGGCGAAGGCAGCUCGCUGGGACGGUACUGACGCUGAGACGCGAAAGCGUGGGGAGUCAAACAG
rnacentral:rRNA from 1 species